rnacentral:rRNA from 1 species
UAGGGAAUCUUCGGCAAUGGGGGGAACCCUGACCGAGCAACGCCGCGUGAGUGAAGAAGGUUUUCGGAUCGUAAAGCUCUGUUGUUAAGGAAGAACGAGUGUGAGAAUGGAAAGUUCAUGCUGUGACGGUACUUAACCAGAAAGGGACGGCUAACUACGUGCCAGCAGCCGCGGUAAUACGUAGGUCCCGAGCGUUGUCCGGAUUUAUUGGGCGUAAAGCGAGCGCAGGCGGUUAGAAAAGUCUGAAGUGAAAGGCAGUGGCUCAACCAUUGUAGGCUUUGGAAACUGUUUAACUUGAGUGCAGAAGGGGAGAGUGGAAUUCCAUGUGUAGCGGUGAAAUGCGUAGAUAUAUGGAGGAACACCGGUGGCGACAGCGGCUCUCUGGUCUGUAACUGACGCUGAGGCUCGAAAGCGUGGGGAGCGAACAGG